rnacentral:lncRNA from 1 species
CUAACUGUCCAGUGAAGUUCAGCUCCGAAUUCUGAGUCUAACUAAGCCCUUGCAGCACUUGAGCCGGGGGCUGCCCUCCUGCUGGCCUUUCCGUCGUCGUUGAACGGAUCUGGGGGACGGGGACGUUGCAGAGGAGCCACAAUCCCCACUCGUUGUUUCCCCAAUGUGCUUUCCGAACUCCCCGAGUGCGUCUUAGAUAAGUUAUUUGAGUGAGGACAGCGCUGCGGUCCGCCUGGAGAAAGGGAGCUUCCUCCGCACUUCUACUUCAUCGUGACAGCAGUGGUCGCAGCGCCACUGGCCAUCUGGAGUCCUGGGAACAUUAAAGCGCUGUUACCCGCCAGGCGUUUCCGCCUAGGACACACUCACACCCACCCUCGGAGACUCCUAAAGGUUUCUCCGUGUCAAUUCAUGUGUCCUCCUCCCAGCAGCACACACGCACACACGCACAUCAACAGCCAAGUCAGCCACCCAGUUUCAACUUCGGGUUGUCCAUGAAAAUUCAGGGAGGCUGAUCUUCUUGAAGAAAUUAAUGAGUAUUCCCACAGGAAAUAGAUGUAAGGGAGGGGCGCCUGUCCAAACUACAGCAGGAGGGGGCCCUGACUCAAAUACAAAGGUUACCUUUCAGUGGGUUUCUCAGUCUUGCUAGUGUUGGGGGAAGGGUUU